UUCUCAUCCCCUUUCUGAUGUGGGCCUUUGGUGUGAGGUGGUUUCUCAUCCCCUUUGUGAUAUGGGCCCUUUGAUGUGAGGUGGCUUCUCAUCCCCAUUGUGAUGUGGGCCCUUUGGUGUGAGGUGGUUUAUCAUCCCCUUUGUGAUGUGGGCACUGUGGUGUGAGGUGGUUUGUCAUUCCCUUUGUGAUGUGGGCCCUUUGGUGUGAGGUGGUUUGUCAUCCCCUUUGUGAUUUGGGUGCUUUAGUGUGAGGUGGUUUCUCAUCACCUUGGUGAUGUGGGCUCUGUGGUGUGAAGUGGUUUCUCAUCCCCUUUGUGAUGUGGGCCCUUUGGUGUGAGGCGGUUUCUCAUCCCCUUUGUGAUGUGGGCUCUGUG